ensembl:miRNA microRNA 9-3
AGGGAUGUUUCUGUCUUUGGUUAUCUAGCUGUAUGAGUGUUGUGGAGCCAUCAUAAAGCUAGAUAACCGAAAGUAGAAAUGACUUC